GACGAACGCUGGCGGCGUGCUUAACACAUGCAAGUCGAACGGUAAGGCCCUUCGGGGUACACGAGUGGCGAACGGGUGAGUAACACGUGGGUGAUCUGCCCUGCACUUCGGGAUAAGCCUGGGAAACUGGGUCUAAUACCGGAUAGGACCACUGCCUGCAUGGGUGGUGGUGGAAAGCUUUUGCGGUGUGGGAUGGGCCCGCGGCCUAUCAGCUUGUUGGCGGGGUGAUGGCCUACCAAGGCGACGACGGGUAGCCGGACUGCGAGGGCGACCGGCCACACAGGGACUGCGAUACGGCCCAGACUCCUACGGGAGGCAGCAGUGGGGAAUAUUGCCCAAUGGGCGGAAGCCUGAUGCAGAGACGCCGCGUGAGGGAUGACGGCCUUCGGGUUGUAAACCUCUUUCAGCACGGACGAAGCGGAAGUGACGGUAGGUGCAGAAGAAGGACCGGCCAACUACGUGCCAGCCGCCGCCGUAA
rnacentral:rRNA from 1 species